UCGGGAAUAUUGCGCAAUGGAGGAAACUCUGACGCAGUGACGCCGCGUGCAGGAAGAAGGUUUUCGGAUUGUAAACUGCUUUAGACAGGGAAGAAACAAGACAGUACCUGUAGAAUAAGCUCCGGCUAACUACGUGCCAGCAGCCGCAGGUAAUACGUAGGGAGCAAGCGUUAUCCGGAUUUAUUGGGUGUAAAGGGUGCGUAGACGGGAAUGCAAGUUGGUUGUGAAAUCCCGUCGGCUCAACCGAGGAAUUGCAACCAAAACUAUAUUUCUUGAGUGCUGGAGAGGAAAGUGGAAUUCCUAGUGUAGCGGUGAAAUGCGUAGAUAUUAGGAGGAACACCAGUGGCGAAGGCGACUUUCUGGACAGUAACUGACGUUGAGGCACGAAAGUGUGGGGAGCAAACAGGAUUAGAUACC
rnacentral:rRNA from 1 species